UGCAUUUCUACGUCAACGGCAGCUUCCUGUCCACAGACGUCUUUUGCCUGUGGCUGCAGAGCACAUUGGAUUUCCGAUGACGCUGACGGCUGCUAAUAUCGUUGUGCCAUCGAUCGCAGACUUUCGUAAGGUCCUGGAAUCCAUCGAUUGCAAGCACUGGCAAAUCAAGCCACCUUAUGACUUGGAGCACCUGUACAGAAAUAGGAAGGACUUGUGCUCCCUAAAUGUACAAGUCUUUCGCAAUGGUAGGGGUGUCAUCAUCCAGCCGACCUCAAAGGGGCCUGGAAGCACGCAUGGCAGCCUCAUCUGAAUGGACUGUGCUCUUCCUGGGAGCUUCAAGGGCAGAAAACUGCCUAAUGGCUGGUUGCUAGGUGACUCUCCCUAUGCCUGAGAGCCAUGGGUGCUCACCCUCCGGUCCGUGGCUGGCCCAGCUGAGCAGCAGUGCAGUGCAGCCCCCACCCAUGCAAGACAAGUCAUACAGUGCACAUUUGGUGUUCUGAGCACGACACAGCAUAUCCGUCCGGCAUGGCAUU